rnacentral:rRNA from 1 species
UGGGGAAUUUUGCACAAUGGGCGCAAGCCUGAUGCAGCGACGCCGCGUGAGGGAUGAAGGCCUUCGGGUUGUAAACCUUUUUCGCUCAUGGUCAAGCCGCAGCUUUGGGUUGUGGUGAGGGUAGUGGGUAAAGAAGCGCCGGCUAACUACGUGCCAGCAGCCGCGGUAAUACGUAGGGCGCGAGCGUUGUCCGGAAUUAUUGGGCGUAAAGGGCUUGUAGGCGGUUGGCCGCGUCUGCCGUGAAAUCCUCUGGCUUAACUGGGGGCGUGCGGUGGGUACGGGUUGACUUGAGUGCGGUAGGGGAGACUGGAAUUCCUUGUGUAGCGGUGGAAUGCGCAGAUAUCAGGAGGAACACCGGUGGCGAAGGCGGGUCUCUGGGCCGUUACUGACGCUGAGGAGCGAAAGCGUGGGGAGCGAACAGG